CGGGAUAGCUCAGUUGGGGAGCAUAGAAAGGG
rnacentral:tRNA from 1 species